AUUGGAUCCUAUCCAGAAGCCCUGCAAGCAGCACAACCCUAACACUGCACAUCUUCGGUGGGGAUCUUACACACAGCAAGCUGGUUUGCUGUAGAAAACCAGCCUGCUCCUGUUGGCACAAUAGAGUGCCGCUCAUUUUCAAAACACUUCAGAUGUUGAUUGGUUAUGUUCUGCGCUGUAGGGUUCAUAGGAAUGAACCCAUUGCUUUUCAAAAGUGUUUCAAUCGCUGGCUGCAAGCGGACAGUUUGUCAAUCCUGCUAUUCUUCAAGAUGGUUUAUCUUGUGUGUGGAUCUAAACAUUAUAUUUGACAACAUGACGUGUCCACCCCCUGGGAUUCCCCCCGGAUUGGCCAGACACUCCGUCGGCUAUUCCAGGGUGGAAGAAGCCGCUGAUCUUGGUUUGAUUAGCAGAACAAUGAGUAUACUGGACGAAGUGUGGAGGACGUCGUCUGCACAGAAUGGGCAAAACCCGCUGGCAUUCCCCACAUUUCAUCUACAGAAAAAAGGUGUUUUUUUUUUUUUGAUCAACCCAGAGAUGGGCACAAAAGUAGAGAAGACAAACAAAUCUCGUCAUCAUGUGAACUUUAGAGUUCUUACCUUGAUUUAGGAACUUUCAGAUUAUGAGUGGCGUGAUGUCUGACUAUGAACUUAAAAAGCAAAAUAGAAUGAUCCAGGCACUCUAUGUAGGUAAGAUAGGCAUAUUUAUUUUGACAAAACACGCAGCAAUGUAUUGACUCCCAAUGGAGUCUUUUUCCAUUGGGAGUCGAAAUGUUGCUCCAUGUUUGUCCAAAUAAAUAUGCCUAUCUUACCUACAUCUUUCUAUUUUGCUAUUGAUAUUUGGGGAUCCUGGACUUGGAUGCACCUUGGAUGGUAGUGGAAGAGUGCAGUUCCUCUCAUGCUUUACUGCGGAUAUGGACUUAAGUCAGUAAGAUUUGACAUGUGCCACACUCAUAGCUUGAAGAUUUGUUUCAGCUCAUUAGCUGCCUACUUCUUCAAGCUGAAGAACCAAUAAAAGUUAUAGACAAAA